CUUGUCUUAAGGUUUUGAGAAGUGGCGUGAUUUGCCGAAUGCCGAUUGGUGGAGGCGGGUGGUCGGUUAUUUGUCCAACUCCGGUGCGCGCGUUGCUCGGCUAACGGUUUUCGUGUCUUCUUCAAAAGUUCGAAGUGCGCGAUAUUUGUGAAUUAGCCGAACUCAGAGUACACAUUAGAGAAUCAACUGCAAUCAUCGAUCAACCAUAUCGAAAGAGUAUCUUCACAAGAGAGGGUGGCGAUGGGUUUGGCUGAGACUGUUCACGAAAUCUUUUGCCUUGGUCUUUAAUGGAGCAACACCUCCUCCAGGUUCUGUACUUUUUGAGAAAACUGCGGGGUGGAAUAGGACGACGAAGACACGUUUAUCCAUCACACCUUCGACACGCAUGGUCCUUUUGUUUCCACACGUUCUGUUCGUCGGCCCGGGCUUCCUUUCUGCAAACAUCGAGAUCUUUUUGUAAUUUUGGCCGUGACGGCCUUGUUAUAACGAGGGGGAUCGCUUUCAUCGAGAUAAAUCCUAAGACAAAAGCCGUUCAUCCCUCGUUAAACGAUAACGUCCUAAGUCUAUUUCUCAAUGGCGUGAAAUUUAACGCAGCUGUCGGAGUUUUGAUUGUAUUCUUAAUCCGUUUUUUCCACGUCGACUUUCAGUUAUACUUUCAAGUAUUAACUUAUUUGUUUCAAAAUUGUAUUUGUAUUUUUUCCUUAAGUUUUCAAUGUCAAUCCGAUGUUCUAUACUGCAUUGCAUUCUCCAGGCAUUUUGAUGGCACU